rnacentral:misc_RNA from 1 species
GAUGAAGAACGCAGCGAAAUGCGAUAAGUAGUGUGAAUUGCAGAAUUCAGUGAAUCAUCGAAUCUUUGAACGCACAAUGCGCCCCUUGGUAUUCCAUGGGGCAUGCCUGUUCGAGCGUCAUUUGUACCUUCAAGCUCUGCUUGGUGUUGGGUGUUUGUCUCGCCUCUGCGUGUAGACUCGCCUCAAAACAAUUGGCAGCCGGCGUAUUGAUUUCGGAGCGCAGUACAUCUCGCGCUUUGCACUCAUAACGACGACGUCCAAAAGUACAUUUUUACACUCUUGACCUCGGAUCAGGUAGGGAUACCCGCUGAACUUAAGCAUAUCAAUAAGCGGAGGA